UACGAAGGGGGCUAGCGUUGUUCGGAAUCACUGGGCGUAAAGGGCGCGUAGGCGGCCGAUCAAGUCGGGGGUGAAAGCCUGUGGCUCAACCACAGAAUUGCCUUCGAUACUGUUUGGCUUGAGACCGGAAGAGGUUAGUGGAACUGCGAGUGUAGAGGUGAAAUGCGUAGAUAUCGGGAAGAACACCAACGGCGAAAGCACUCUGCUGGGCCGAAACUGACACUGAGAGACGAAAGCUAGGGGAGCAAAUGGG
rnacentral:rRNA from 1 species